UACGAAGGGGGCUAGCGUUGCUCGGAAUUACUGGGCGUAAAGGGCGCGUAGGCGGAUAGUUUAGUCAGAGGUGAAAAGCCCAGGGCUCAACCCUGGAAUUGCCUUUGAUACUGGUCUAUCUUGAGUUCGGGAGAGGUGAGUGGAACUCCGAGUGUAGAGGUGAAAUUCGUAGAUAUUCGGAAGAACACCAGUGGCGAAGGCGACUCACUGGCCCGAUACUGACGCUGAGGCGCGAAAGCGUGGGGAGCAAACAGG
rnacentral:rRNA from 1 species